GGUGGAGUAUGUGGUUUAAUUCGACGCAACGCGAAGAACCUUACCAGGUCUUGACAUUGAUGGACAGAACUAGAGAUAGUUCCUCUUCUUCGGAAGCCAGAAAACAGGUGGUGCACGGUUGUCGUCAGCUCGUGUCGUGAGAUGUUGGGUUAAGUCCCGCAACGAGCGCAACCCUCGUUCUAUGUUGCCAGCACGUUAUGGUGGGGACUCAUAGGAGACUGCCGGGGUCAACUCGGAGGAAGGUGGGGAUGACGUCAAAUCAUCAUGCCCCUUAUGUCUUGGGCUUCACGCAUGCUACAAUGGCCGGUACAGAGGGUUGCGAUACUGUGAGGUGGAGCUAAUCCCUAAAAGCCGGUCUCAGUUCGGAUUGGGGUCUGCAACUCGACCCCAUGAAGUCGGAGUCGCUAGUAAUCGCAGAUCAGCAACGCUGCGGUGAAUACGUUCCC
rnacentral:rRNA from 1 species